rnacentral:lncRNA from 1 species
CCUGUGUCUAGCUCAGGGUUUGUGAAUGCACCAAUGGACACUCUGUAUCUAGCUACUCUGGUGGGGACUUGGAGAACCUUUGUGUCCACACUCUGUAUCUAGCUAAUCUAGUGGGGAGGUGGAAAACUUUUGUGUCUAGCUCAGGGAUUGUAAACGCACCAAUCAGCACCCUGUCAAAACGGACCAAUCAGCUCUCUGUAAAAUGGACCAAUCCACUCUCUGUAAAAUGGACCAAUCAGCAGGAUGUGGGUGGGGCCAGAUAAGAGAAUAAAAGCAGGCUGCCCGAGGCAGUAGUGGCAAACCGGCUGGAGUUCCGUUUUGCGAUGUGGUUUCGUUCUUCUUUCGCUCUUUGUAAUAAAUCUUGCUACUGCUCACUGUUUGGGUCUACACUGCCUUUAUGAGCUGUGACACUCCCCAGGAAGGCCUGCAGCUUCACUCCUGAAACCAGCGGGACCACGAACCCAUCAGAAGGAAGAAACUCCAAACACAUCCCAAUAUCAGAAGGAACAAACUCCAGACACGCCGCUUUUAAGAACUGUAACACUCACCGCGAGGGUCUGCAGCUUCAUUGUUGAAGUCCGUGAGACUAAGAAUCCUCCAAUUCCGGGCACAGGAUUAUGCUGCAGUAACAAACAACCCAAGUCCCAGGAGCUUAAAACAAGAGUUUAUUUUUCACCAAAAUUAUCUAUUUAAUAAUGCAGGUUGGCAAGAUGGAGACUAGGGGAGGGUUCAGCUAGUUGUAUUUUUUCAGGGAUCCAGGGUGAUGGAAGUUUCUUCUCAACUUUUGUCUUCAGGAUCAUCUGUGGUAGUGGAUCAGAGCAUUCAAUGAUCUUCCACCACAAGUUAAAUGCUCUGGUCUAAGCUAGCACACAUGACUUCCACCCACAACUCUUCAGGUAGCACUGAUUCCAUGUCCUUGCCCAACUACAGGGUGGAGGAGGCAGAGAAGUACAAUCCACCCAGGAGCUUGGGAGGAAAGGAGAAUAGCCUCUGAAUCAUAGAAGACUCCAUGGCAGCUGCUUUUGUCUCCCUUUGUCACUGCCACGCCUCCUCUUCCUCCAUAAAUAGACAUUCCAGUGCUUUUGAGGCUCUCCUUGCUUGCUAGAUGAAGUAAACAGCCAAGUUGGG